AGGCUUUGCUCAGAAUGCUACUGUUCUUCUACUGUGAGGCACAAUAAAAAUCAAGGUGUCUGAAGUUUUGUUUGAAAUACAUUCAGCAGUGGAUUUUGACAAAGAGUGAAAUUAUAUUUAUGCAAAAUAACACAGGCAUAACUUUAAAAUGUUUCAUUCAAAUAUCUCCUCUGAAUUUCUACCCUCAUGGUAGACUAAACAGUCUGGGACCUUGAGGCUCUGAAGAAGACGACUCCGCUCUUCUAUGACAGCGAUUCAAAACAUAGCUCGAGGAGGCCACCUUUCACAGUUGGGCAUUGGUUUCAGCUCUCCUUUCUCUGUUUUCCUGAGUCCUAGACAGGAGUAGAGAACAGUUCUGGGUAUUUUCACUCUUUG
rnacentral:lncRNA from 1 species